rnacentral:rRNA from 1 species
CACGUAGGGCGCAAGCGUUGUCCGGAAUUAUUGGGCGUAAAGAGCUCGUAGGCGGUCUGUUGCGUCCGCUGUGAAAACUCGGGGCUUAACCCCGAGCCUGCAGUGGAUACGGGCAGACUAGAGGUAGGUAGGGGAGAAUGGAAUUCCUGGUGUAGCGGUGAAAUGCGCAGAUAUCAGGAGGAACACCGAUGGCGAAGGCGGGUCUCUGGGCCACUACUGACGCUGAGAAGCGAAAGCAUGGGGAGCGAACAGG